rnacentral:lncRNA from 1 species
CUCAGGCAGUGUAUCAACAGGUGCUUCCAGAGAUGAGUUUGUGAAGCCCACACUUAAAUCACCAGUGAAUACCAACUCACCUGGAGAUUUUGCGUAUGAGGCAUGAAAGCAGGAGAAAUUAAUCAAAGCAUAUGAAGCCAGGAAGAAAUUGGAGAUGAUGGGAGCAAUGGUGUUCAACUGAGCUGCAAGACACAAUUCAGAUAUCUCCUGAGAUGUUGGCUCCCGCGAGAAUGCCAGUGGCAGCUGGGAAGAAGAUGGCAAACACUGAGAAAAAUCCUUCUCCACUUCUGAAAUCUGGUCCAAAGUUUUCUGCAAAUAUUGAUGCUGCAAAUACAGUUCUAAGCUUUUGUCACCG